UGCUGUAAAUCAGUGAUAGAACAACAUAAUAAUUCACGAUCUGAAGUCAGAGCCAAAGAUAUCCUCUCUGAUGUAUGGGAUGGCAACAAUAUUGAUGAAAAUAUGCUGUUCAAAACUGAUAAAGAUUCAUUAGCUUUAAUCUUGUAUGAAGAUGCUUUUGAAGUUGCCAAUCCACUUGGUUCUGGUAAGAAAAAGCACAAAAUUCUUGCCGUUUACAUGACACUUGCAAACCUGCUGCCUCACUGUAGGUCAGGCAUUGACCCUAUGCAGCUAGUUCUGCUGUGUAGGGAACAAGAUUUUAGAUUUUUUGGACAAGAUUUGGUCUUUGCAACUCUGGUAAAAGACCUUAAAGACCUGGAGGAAAAUGGUGUUGAGUUAGCGGAUGGAAAGGUGCACAAAGGUACAUUGUGUGCCACAGCUGGCGAUAACCUUGGAUCACAUUACAUUGGUGGCUUUGUUGAGAAUUUCAGUAAAAGUAAAAACUUUUGCAGAUACUGUGAAAUUGACCGCCAGACAUUUAACUCGGCUCCCCUAACAAAGGCAUUAACAAGAACUGUGGAGUCGUAUGAGCAAAAUCUUAAGGAUUUGGAUGCUGAUCAAACUGAAAUUGCAAUUGGUGUCAAAUGUAAUUCUCCCUUUAAUGACCUGAAAUAUUUUCACGUUUGCCAGCCAGGAUUACCUCCCUGUCUUGGACACGAUCUUUUUGAAGGUGUUGUGUCAUUUGACCUUGCUUUGUAUACCGAUCAUCUUGUGAAUCAGGAGAAACGGUUCACAUACACUGAACUAAAUCAUCGUAUUAACCAGUUUAAGUAUCUUGGGAAUGAUGCGCGUGAUAAACCAGUUGAGAUGACUCCUGGUACUGGGAAAUUAAGUGGACAUGCAGUUCAGAAUUGGUGCCUUCUCCGGCUUUUACCUCUUUUGGUUGGGGAAAAGAUUGUCAGUCCAACUGAAAAUGAGGUAUGGCAGUUAGUACUUCAACUCAGACAGAUAGCAGAGCUCAUCUGUGCUCCUUCCAUUAAUAUUGGUCAGAUUGCAUAUUUAUCAGUGCUAAUAGAGGAGUAUAUUGAGACUCGAAAGGUGGUUUUUCCAAAUCAUCCCCUUAAGCCAAAGCACCACUACCUGUGUCAUUAUCCUGAGCUCACUGGUCGUUUUGGUCCACUUAUUCGCCUCUGGACACUACGCUUUGAAAGUAAGCACUCAUACUUUAAACAGUGUGCGAGAAAAUUGCACAACUUCAAGAAUUUGAGUGCUACAUUGGCAGAAAGACAUCAACUUCUUCAGGCUUACCUACAUGCUGGAAGCCCUUUCCCUGAAAAUGUUGUGGCAGAGAGGGGAAUAGAGUUUCAUGUUAAUGACUACAAUGAUGACAUUCAAGGAUCUGUUGCUGGUCUUAACUUUCAGCCAGGGAAUACAGUAGCAUGUAAUGAAGUGACCGUAAAGGGAACACUUUAUAAAAAAAACAUGCAUGUUGUUUUGCAGAAGAAUGAUGAGGGAAUUGUGUUUGGGAACAUUCAUUUAAUUAUUGUACAUGACAAUUGCGAUGUGUAUUUUGUCACAAAGAAAAGUCAGUCUUUUUGUCUUAUAGACCAGGGAGUUCAUUGCUUGAAACCACAAGAUCAAGGCUACCUAUGCAUAAAUCAAGACAGUCUACUGGAUUACUAUCCUCUGCCUGAGUAUUCAUUGUGUGGCUUGUCAGUAAUUGUUCUCCAUCAUUCCUUCCCAAUUUUAGAAUAAUGUCUGGAAUGAAAGAAGUCCUGAAAGAUGCUGUACUGUUGGUGUUGCCAAGCCUAUCUCCAGAUGUAACCAACCAGCUUGUUGAGAAGCUCAUGGACCAAGGUGUCGAAGGCUUGGAUGAUUUGGUUUAUGUAAAAGAAGAUGACAUUUUGGAGUUUAUCAGACCUAUCCAAUGCAGAAAACUUCUUAGUUCAUGGAAAAAUCAAGAACAUCAGAACUGCACAGUCGUACUGCCACCUGCUGAGGUUCUCCCCUCGGUUCCCCCCGAAACAAACACUACUCUUGGUUCACCUCCAUCAAGCUCCUCAAGGCCAACAUCAAGCAGUUUAGCAUCAGCCAGUGUCACACAUUCAUGGACUGAAAAUUUCCAAGUUCCCUGGAACUUAAUGCCAGACGGUAUAAAGAGUGCUGUUGAGAAUGGACAGAGACCUUCUCCUUCUGAUCGAAGACAAAUGAUUAGAAUCCUUGCUGAUGAAAUGAGAAAACAUGACAAAAACCCCACCAGAUCACAGUGUCUUACUGUUAGUCGCAAAAUAGUGAGCCAGUAUCCAAAGUCUUUUGCUGACAUGUUGGGUGACAAGCAGGUUGGGGGUGGAUAUGAAUCUGUUUUUUCACAGCUGAAAGUACGCAUCGAGCACCUGAAUCGAACAAAUACACUAAGUCAUCAUAGGAUCCAAAGAAGUGACACCGGAACUACUAGAAAACGAAGUUCCACUGACUCGUAUGGUUGUACAAGAUGGCAGCCGGAUCUUCCACCUAGGGAAACUUAUGACAGUCUUGAAGUGAAACGUCAGAAGAUGGAGGAGAUGCAUCUUCAUGAAGGAAUCUCUGGAGCAGAGAGAGGAGACGUUUGCAAGCUCAUGGAGGAAACCUAUUGGCUUCAGCGUCACAUGAUCAAUGCAACCCCAUCCCCUACAAUUGCAGAUAUCAAAACUAAAUGGCCAUAUCUUUUCACACAGAGGCAUAUAUAUGGACAUUUUGAACAGCUUACUGACAAAAAAGUGCUCAGAUGUUUGGAAUUGUCUAUUCAGGAGUGUGGACAAAUCAUAAUUGAAUUUUUCAAAAGCAAACCAACCAGUGAUGACAUUCGAAGCAUUCUCUCCAGAGGUGAAAAUGAUGUGGAUGCUAUGGUCAUACAACUACUCCUUGCACACUUCAAAGAGAAGUUAGAUGGGGUUUUCCUUCAAGCAGAUGAAUUUGCAACUCCAUCUGAUGUCCAGCAUUCUCUUAAUUUGCCAGAGAGUCCACGCCUUAUAUUUCUUGGUCAAUCUCUGAGCAACCAGUGCUGGAUGUUGAGUUUGGAGGGUCAAAUUGUGUGUGAAGGAGCACAGCCCAACUUCAUCACUGGCCUGGCAGCGCUGUUUGCCUCCUUCUAUAACUUCAAUUUACAGUACCAGGAAGAGGCAGCAUGCACCCUUGAGUUUGUUCAGAGACGCUUUGUUGACAUCAAUCCUGAACGUGGAUCAAAAGCAAAAAAAGGAAAAAUGACUUCAAAGAAAACUGGCCAAGUCGUGCAAAAAAAGAACGCAACUGUAAGCCCACCAGUUUCCUCACUUCUGCGAAAACUUGCAGACUUUGAAUGGAACUUUGUUUAGAACCUGUCAGCAAGUACAUUCAAAGUAAUUAAGAUUACUGCGUCGUUAAUUCCAUUUAUAAAAAACCAACUGCCAUUUCAGUCAAUUUGAGGUUCUAUUCUUUUUUUUUUUUUUUUUUUUUUUGACU